ACAGCAGUCGCCACGGUAAUACGUAUGUCACAAGCGUUAUCCGGAUCUAUUGGGCGUAAAGCGCGUCUAGGUGGUUAUGUAAGUCUGAUGUGAAAAUGCAGGGCUCAACUCUGUAUUGCGUUGGAAACUGUGUAACUAGAGUACUGGAGAGGUAAGCGGAACUACAAGUGUAGAGGUGAGAUUCGUAGAUAUUUGUAGGAAUGCCGAUGGGGAAGCCAGCUUACUGGACAGAUACUGACGCUGAAGCGCGAAAGCGUGGGUAGCAAACAGGAUUAGAUACCCCUGUAGUCCCUGUCUCUUAUACA
rnacentral:rRNA from 1 species